rnacentral:rRNA from 1 species
CGUGUAGGCGGCCCGGUAAGUCCGCUGUGAAAGUCGGGGGCUCAACCCUCGGAAGCCGGUGGAUACUGUCGGGCUCGAGUACGGAAGAGGUGAGUGGAAUUCCUGGUGUAGCGGUGAAAUGCGCAGAUAUCAGGAGGAACACCUAUUGCGAAGGCAGCUCGCUGGGACGUAACUGACGCUGAGACGCGAAAGCGUGGGAGCAAACA